ensembl:vault_RNA Vault Vault RNA
GCACUGGUUUAGCUCAGUGGUUACUUCGAACAACUAUUCUCUCUGGAGAAUUCACUGCUCUCUAUCCCUCCGUGGGAUCGAACCCCGGGCGCUGUCCAGUGUUUUU